UUGACCUCAAAUCAGGCAGGAGUACCCGCUGAACUUAAGCAUAUCAAUAAGCGGAGGAAAAGAAACCAACAGGGAUUGCCUUAGUAACUGCGAGUGAAGCGGCAAGAGCUCAAAUUUGAAAUCUGGCACCUUCGGUGUCCGAGUUGUAAUUUGUAGAAGCAUCUUUUGGAUUGGUCCUUGCAUAUGUUCCUUGGAACAGGACAUCAUAGAGGGUGAGAAUCCCGUUCGUGGUGGGGAAUCCAAUUCUUUGUAAAGUGCUUUCUAAGAGUCGAGUUGUUUGGGAAUGCAGCUCUAAGUGGGUGGUAAAUUCCAUCUAAAGCUAAAUAUUGGCGAGAGACCGAUAGCGAACAAGUACAGUGAUGGAAAGAUGAAAAGAACUCCGAAAGGAGAGUGAAAAAGGACGUGAAAUUGUUGAAAGGGAAGUGCUUGAGAUCAGUCUUAAGGUUUAGUGAUCAGUCUUCCUUUUGGUUGGUGCACUCACUAUUUCUUAGGCCAACAUCAGUUUGGGCGGCAGGAUAAUGACAUUGGAAUGUGGCUCUUUCGGGAGUGUUAUAGCCUUUGUUGAUACUGCCUGCUUGGACUGAGGACUGCGCUUCGGCUAGGAUGUUGGCAUAAUGAUCUUAAGCAGC
rnacentral:rRNA from 1 species